rnacentral:rRNA from 1 species
GCCCGUAGAAAUAGCGGAUUAAUACCCUAUGUUUUCCGGUAGACGGCAUCUGAACUGGAACAAAGAUUGAUCGCUAAGGGAUGGGGAGUGCGUACGAUUAGGUUGUUGGCGGGGUAACGGCCCGACCAAGCCUGCGAUCCGUUAGGGGUUCUGAGAGGAAGGUCCCCCACACUGGUACUGAGACACGGUCCUAACUCCUACGGGAGGCAGCAGUGAGGAAUAUUGGUCAAUGGGCGUAAGCCUGAACCAGCCAAGUAGCGUGAAGGAUGACUGCCCUAUGGGUUGUAAACUUCUUUUACGGGAGGAUAAAGUGCCGUACGCGUACGGUAUUGCAGGUAUCCCGUGAAUAAGCAUCGGCUAAUUCCGUGCC